rnacentral:rRNA from 1 species
AUACGAAGGGGGCUAGCGUUGUUCGGAAUCACUGGGCGUAAAGCGCGCGUAGGUGGAUCAAUUAGUUGAGGGUGAAAUCCCGGGGCUCAACCUCGGAACUGCCUUCAAUACUGUUGAUCUUGAGACCGAGAGAGGUGAGUGGAAUUCCUAGUGUAGAGGUGGAAUUCGUAGAUAUUAGGAAGAACACCAGUGGCGAAGGCGGCUCACUGGCUCGGUACUGACGCUGAGGUGCGAAAGCGUGGGGAGCAAACAGGAUUAGAAACCCUUGUAGUCC